CAAUCCAUCAAUAAACGCCAAUCUGACUUUUAUCGUCAAAUUUUGCCUUGUGAUACCACCAUUAAGUAAAUAAGGCAUCUGUGCCUCGAUCAUUUUCUCAUCACAAAACCCGCAUGCCUUCGACCAUGACAUGACAAUAACAAGACAGCAUUUGUGCCAUAUCCAUUUUUUUCUGAUAGAUGCAAAAGCAAACACACGUUGAUUAACAUGGAUCCAUUGAAUAACAGCUCCACAAAGCUAGCCUCCUACAAAAAGACAGUUUCUCGUUGAUCCGAAAAAGAAACAAAAUAUUAAUCAUCACUUUCUUCUCCUUAAUCAUUCUAUUAGCACUAAUAAUAGGCACCAUAAUCACAUCUCUUAUACGAAAGCGCAAUUUGAAGUUACAAUCUUUGCAUCCAAAUCUAUCAAUAAAAAAAUUUUUUUUCCGUGAGUCGGAAUAAGUCAACUUGUAUAAUUUCUCCAUCUUCCACCAUUAGACCAACAAAUGAAGCAGAUCCUAAUCAGAUUUUCAUUAAAUACCUCGAAAACCCAUGGUACAAGUCUUCAACAUCACUUCCAUUAUGUUGGGAAUAAGGUCAAAUGACACUCGGACCGAGUUGAUUUUUUGUAAUUGCUCGAGUUUAUUGGUGACUCCCUGAGUCAACUCAACAACACAUUGG
rnacentral:lncRNA from 1 species